AUCCAGCCCAAAUGAGGCUCCUAAGAUGAUGAGUAGCAACAUAACCAGAGGAGAAGAUAAAGAGGAAGACGAAGAGGGAGAUCGAGUCUAAAAAAUUCCUUGGAUGAAAUCAGUGAAUAAGUGAUUUUACCAGGAUCAUUCCAAGGGUCAAUUACUUAAAGACGAUCGAGAUCGAUGGUCUUGCUUGCGAUUUGUAUCAUAAGCCCAUCGAUGAAGCUGCACAUCCAAUUGUUCUUCUAGGCUGGACUCCAAUCUGAAAAGAGGCAAAUGGACAAAGAAUUUUGGAUGGCUAUGAAUUCAAGUUAAGCAUCCAAGUAAAAGCUACAUUCACUUGGAAAAAAGCAAACCACACUCCAAAUCUUUCUCCUCAGUCUUCUGGACUAUUGAAGUAUUCACAUUGGAUGUGUUAAAAAUAUUUGUUAAAGUGUGUUAUAUGACAAAAAGUCAUAAAUUCAAAAUUUUUCUCUUAGACCAUUCACAUUGUACGUGUUAAAAAAUUGAUUGUUAAAGUGUGUUAUAUGACAAAAAGCUAUAAAUGUGAGAUUUCUAUUAAAUUUUUUAGUCUAUGGGUCCUCCAACAGAGUUGUAUUCUCUGACUUAUGUAUUCAAAGUUUGUGUUCUCUUGUAUCUAAUUCAUUAUCUUGAGCAUCACAGUACUAGAUGUGUUAAAAAUGUUUGUUUAAAAAAAAAAAAAAAA